UAAAUUUUAUUUAUUAAUUUUAUUUAUUUAAGUAUUAUAUUUAAUAAAAAUAAUUUUAAUUCAGUAUAGUUUUAGUAUUUUUUAAAGAAAUAAUAAUUUUAAUAAUAGUUUAUUUGUAUUGUAAAAGAAGAUUGAAAUAAUUUGAAAAAUUUUUAUUUUAAAAGAAAAUUUAAUUUAUUGUACCUUGUGUAUCAGGGUUUAUUAAUUAAUUAAUUAUUAUAGUAAUUUUUCUCGAAUUUUAAAGAUUUAAUUAUAUAUAAAAGUUAUUGUGGAAUAAUUAUUUUUAAUAUAUAAUUAGAAAUGAAAUGUUAAUCGUUUUAAAAUAUAUCUAGUUUUUUAAGAAAUAAAUUUAAUUUAGAUUUAUAAAUUAAAAGUAUUAUUUAUUUAAUAUUUUUAAUUUAUAAAAUUAAUAUUUUAAGGGAUUAGCUUUAAAAUAAAUUUUUAAAUUUUAAAAAAGUAUUUAAUAAAUGUAAGCUUAAAAAUAGUUAUCAUUAAUAAAUUUGUUAUAAUUUAUUUUAAAUUUUUUAUUAUUUAUUAUAAAAUUAAAUUAUUUAUUAAAAUAUAAAUUUUAAUAUUAAUGAUUUAUAAAUUAUGGUAAAAUUAGUAUAUUUAAUUUAUAUAAAUUAUUUAAAUUGAGAGGUUUAAAUAAGGAAUUCGGCAAAUUAUAUAUUCACCUGUUUAUCAAAAACAUGUCUUUUUGUAUUUAAUUUAAAGUCUAACCUGCCCACUGAUAGAUAUUAAAGGGCCGCAGUAUUUUGACUGUGCGAAGGUAGCAUAAUCAGUAGUCUUUUAAUUGAAGGCUUGUAUGAAUGGUUGAAUGAGAUAUAUACUGUCUUUUUUAAAUUUUUAUAGAAUUUUAUUUUUUAAUUAAAAAGUUAAAAUAUAAUUAAAAGACGAGAAGACCCUAUAGAUCUUUAUUUUUUUUAAUUAUAAGUUAAAAAGAAUAAUUAAAUUUAUAGUUUUAUAAAAAAUUUUACUGGGGUGGUAUUAAAAUUUAAUUAACUUUUAUUAUUUGUUUACAUUAAUAUAUGUAUAUUUGAUCCAAUUUUAUUGAUUAAAAAAUUAAGUUACCUUAGGGAUAACAGCGUAAUUUUUUUUUAGAGUUCUUAUCGACAAAAAAGAUUGCGACCUCGAUGUUGGAUUAAGAAUUAUUUUUAGGUGUAGAAGUUUAAAGUUUAGGUCUGUUCGACCUUUGAAUUCUUACAUGAUCUGAGUUCAAACCGGCGUAAGCCAGGUUGGUUUCUAUCUUUAAUAAAUUAUUAUAUUAUAGUACGAAAGGACCUAAUAUAAAAAAUAUAAAUUUUAAAUUUAUGAAUUAUAUUAAUAUUUAAUAA
rnacentral:rRNA from 1 species